rnacentral:tRNA from 1 species
UUAAAUAUAGUUUAAAAUAAAAACAUUAUAUUUUCAUUAUAAAAAUAAUUUUUAUAAUUUAUUUAAA